GAGGAUGCAUCGUUAAUUAAAGAUAAAGAAGGAAAGGAUGUAGAAUAAAACAAUCUUCUAUAUCCAAAGUAAAAGUAUGUCCGCUAGAAUUCCACUAAAAAAUUGUAUCACCAUUAAGUUUAAUUUGUACUCUAUUGCCUAUAACGGAAUAAGUUGUCCAUGUGGAGAGGGUAUGGGGACUGAAAGUAGGCUCCUCCAUGUCCUAAAGGUAUAGAGAAUAUCAUGAAGAAACAUGGUCCAACCAAAUGAAAACUGUAAAUGAUAGGACCCUAUGCCCACCACAUCCUUGACAACUUUAUUUCUCAUAAAAAUCGUCAUGCUUCGCGUUGGAACUCAAUGAAGCUUCACAAAACCAUUCGCAUUCCUCGACAUGUGUUUUACCGCUCUUGAAUCUACAAUCCAACUAUUAGAAAGCGGAUGAGCAAUUAACACCUCUAUGCACCCACUAGCAAACUCACUGAAAUGCACAAAUUUUACUUGCUUUGGCUCAAUGCACUCACAAGCAAGUGACUGGUUUUCCCAUAAUUGCAGCAAGCUAAAGCUAACUUGUCCUUGAGAGCAUUGUGUUUGCCCACCCCUUUGCUUUGGAAUUUUUAACCUGAGCACCCUCAACCUUCAUUUCCUCUCUCUUAGGAGGAUUGUUGCCGUAAGGAUUUCCCUUGGAUUUCUUACCACCCUUUGGAUCACCUGGCUUGGCCAACAUGGCAAACUCCAGCUCUAGCUCUAGAUGGCAACAUGCCAACAUGGCAACAUGCCAACAUGCCAACAUGCCAACAUGGCAAACUCCAGCUCUAGAUGAUGAGAUAAUGAAAAAUGUUAAGCAUUGUAAUCUUCAUUUGCUCCCAAAAUUGAGGAAGUGAUCUAAAUACGACUAAAUUUUGUUGCUCAUUACUUAGCACGUUGUCCGUUGCACUUAGGCCACAUAUCAUUUGACACAACUUUCUCAAAUGCUUCGUUAUGGAGGCAUUUGACAACAUUGUAUAUGUCUCGAAUGCCAACAUGAAUCCGCAAGACUUGGUGGCUGAGGUGCCCACAAGCUGGAGUUACAAUACAUGCCACAUCUCCUUGGCUAUCAGAGAAGUCCGAAACUGCCCAAUCAAGUCCUUUUACAUGCUACUCAACAUAGUCAAGUGUGUGCAAUGAUCCCUUUAGAGUCGUCAUGCAUGAUAUUCUUCCAUUUCAAAAUAUGCCUCGGCCAUGUUCCCGUCCUAAGGGGGAGUCCUGCUAAUGGUCAAGCGUUACACGUCCAACGAGUAUUGAAUCCUAUGAUGCACAUGUUGUAAUUCUUGCCAUCCGGUUUCUCCCUUCUGAGAUGGUCAUUUGAUGCCAUUGCAGUCUACUAAACAAAGGUAGAAUCACAAUUACAUGGAUGAUCGAGCUGGUUUACACAUGAUUGUACAAUAACAUAAAGUCUUCAAAGAUUGAGGUAUAGCCAAAGCUUCAAAAUACUUAGACUCAAAAACUUUGCACAGCCUUACUGGCCAGUGCUAAUAAUCAUUAUCAAGUAAGAUUUUAGAGGCUCAACAC
rnacentral:lncRNA from 1 species